rnacentral:rRNA from 1 species
GAUGAACGCUGGCGGCGUGCCUAAUACAUGCAAGUCGAGCUAACAGACGAGGAGCUUGCUCCUCUGACGUUAGCGGCGGACGGGUGAGUAACACGUGGAUAACCUACCUAUAAGACUGGGAUAACUUCGGGAAACCGGAGCUAAUACCGGAUAAUAUAUUGAACCGCAUGGUUCAAUAGUGAAAGACGGUUUUGCUGUCACUUAUAGAUGGAUCCGCGCCGCAUUAGCUAGUUGGUAAGGUAACGGCUUACCAAGGCGACGAUGCGUAGCCGACCUGAGAGGGUGAGCGGCCACACGGGAACUGAGGCACGGUCCAGACUCCUACGGGAGGCAGCAGUAGGGAAUCUUCCGCAAUGGGCGAAAGCCUGACGGAGCAACGCCGCGUGAGUGAUGAAGGUCUUCGGAUCGUAAAACUCUGUUAUUAGGGAAGAACAAAUGUGUAAGUAACUAUGCACGUCUUGACGGUACCUAAUCAGAAAGCCACGGCUAACUACGUG